GUGUCCUCCGAGCAGAUUUCUUUACCUGGCUCCCAGGUUCCUGCCCCACUCCAGGCUGUCACCCUGCCUCAACACCUCUGCCACCACCUGGGACCUCACUAGCACUGUUUACAGUGCUAAUGCCAGUCGCUAAUUUUCUCUGAUUAGAAAUAUGGGAUAAUGUUGGAAAUACUCAGAAAUUUUCUCCUGUUUCUCAUCUGUGGUGGGAAGGGCUAAUGAGAAACAGAAAAACAGAAAAGCAAAGGCUUUUCCUCCCAACUACAGUCCUGCUGGAGACAGUCCAGCUCCAGAGAUUUACUGUGUUGACUCUGGAUAUCCCGUCCCUCUCCUGAUGUCCCCAGCCAUCCACACAGCUCCUUAGUCCAGUGACACCUCCCUUGGUGCUCUCUCCCAUAACUCUGUUGAUCUCCUGCUGUUAAAGUUGUAUGUCCAUCCAUCCAUCCAUCCAUCCAUCCAUCCAUCCAUCCAUCCAUCCAUCCAUCCAUCCAUCCAUCCAUCCACCCACCUGUCCCUCCCUCCCUUUAUUUCCCAGUGACCCCCUUACCCAUAGACAGAAAUUGCUCACAAACCUCAGAGCUUUAAUUCCCUCCUUGUGAUUCAUUUUUAACUUCCCAGGAGAAGGAUGAUCUUGGUGGAGGAGCCCAGCUUGGCGUGGUUCUCAUUCCUGCUGUCGUGUGAAGCAAGAUGGAGAGAAUUACAUCCAGAGGCCCAGAGCUGGGCAUGGAACAUGGGCAGCAGGUCCAAGCUUGGACAAAGUCCUUCCAGAACUGCUUUCCUGCCUUUUCUUCCCAUCCUGUGCUUUUGCAACCCUCACACAAUGCCAGCAAUGAGGACUAAAGGAAAUCUAGAAAAUGUGAUCUCUGAGGGAAGAGUGAAAGAAUUGGGCUGUUUGUAGCAGAGGAGCAGAGCAGGGACAGCUGGAGAUGUGCUGACCUCCAGCCUCCCCUUUGCAGCUGCACUUCCUGCCCUGCUGGGAUAACCCUCCUCCAAUAAAUAAAAGGCUGCCAUGGAAAAGAAGGGAAUAAACUGCUCUGUGUCUGCCUGGAGAGGAUGAGGAAUCACAGAGUGAGGCUGCAGUGAGAGCUUUAAUCAGACUUUGGGGACUGGCUGAGUGUAAACACAGCCCUGGGCCAGGACAGAGCUGCUGUGCCGGGUUCCGUCAGCGGCAGUUUUAGGAGGGAAGAGCACAAAUUAAACAAACAUCCAUCAUGGGGGGUUUAAGCUGCACUCACCCUGCACUGGAUCAGAGUGAGCAGCAAUUGCUCCAGGCACCCCUCCAGCUCUGCUUGCUCAGCUUCUCUGCUGCUAUUCCCAACAAUCUCGUGGCUCCAGGCAGGUGAAAACUGGAACCAGCUCCUCCUCUCUGAGAGUGGAUGUUUGGAGAAGGGGUUUGCCCCCAUCCCUGUGACUUUCCAGCAGCCUGGAUGCAGGAGCAGCCCUGCUGGGCUGCCUCAGGCCCACAGCAGGUGGGGAAGGAUGAAGAACCAUGCUGGGGACAGUGAGGAGGGACCAUGGAGCUGGGUGAGUGUUGCUGAAGAUCUUCACACUAUAAAAACUUCCUUUUUGUUUCUUUAAGGAAUUUUAAUGGAUGUUAUGCACUGGGGUAACAGGGUAACAACUCCUCAACACUCUGCUGUGAAGCCAGAGUACAGGAGCCUGAGAUUUCAGCCUGGGCUUCCAUCCCUUGUCAAAGAAUCCCAGAAUGGUGUGGAUUGGAAGGGACCUGAAAGAUGAUCCAGUGCCACCCCUGCUAUGGCAGGGACACCUUCCACUAUCCCAGGUUGCUUGAAGCCCAUCCAGCCUGGCUUUGGGCACUGCCAGGGAUCCAGGGGCAGCCCCAGCUGCUCUGGGCACCCUGUGCCAGGGCCUGCCCACCCUCACAGGGAACAAUUCCUUCCCUAUAUCCCACCUAACCUGCCCUCUGGCAGUGGAAAGCCCUAGUCCUGUUCCUCCAUCCCUUGUCCAAAGUUCCUCUCCAGUUUUCUUGGAGCCCCCUUCGGCACUGGAAGGAGUUUCUAAGGUCUGCCUGGAGCCCUUUUCUCCUGAGCAGCCUGUUUUGUGCUGGUUUGGGCUGGCCAGGGCUCAGCACCACAUCUCCAGGAGAGCAGGGAUGGGUUUUUAUCCAGGAAGCUGCAGAAUCAGCUGCAGUCAGACUGGUCAGCAUCUCAAGAUGUUUCCCUUCUGUUCAACUGAGUCUGGUGGUUUUGGCUGGAUUCCCAGCCCUCUUCAGCCUGGGGAAUCACAGACAGGGAUGCAAAUAGAAGCAGCUCAUAGUGGAGCUUUGCCAUGGGGCAAUUCCUUCCCGGAGAGGAAACGAAGCUGUUGGAUGCUGCUGAGGGACAGGGCAGCCCCACAACCCCUCAAGCUGCCCCAGGCUCCUCCACCCUCCUCUCCCAGGAAGCAAACAUCCUCAGGAGGAUUCUCAGGAACAGCUUUGGGAAAGAUUUCCCCUUAUGAGAAGCAAAGCCUUGAGGACUCUGCUUCAUCUGGGUUCUUUCACAGGGUGGCUGGCUCUGCACACACUGACCUUAGAGGGGAUGUUAAUGUUUUCCCACUGUAAAUGUUCAUGUUUUUGUGCAACAGUCACAUUGCAGUCUUGGAAGUCUCAUUUUGGUUUUCAUAAAACUUCCUGGAAAACUCAAUAAAAGAAAACACCAUAUCUACUUAAUUACUAAAAGCCUGGGAAGUGAAUAUUUAGUUUGUUUACCGUUUGACAUCCUCCUCCUUGGCUCAAGACCAUAACAGCAAUGUGUGUGUGUUGGGCUGGAAAUUUUGAUGUGUUGUCUAAUUUUCUUUAUUACUUCCCUUUUUGAAAAAAUAGAGAAGAGGGAAGGGCACAGUUACCCCCUCACAAACGGUUACUGCUGGGGCAGCCCACGGAGCCAUUUACCAGCAGGGGAAUUGUGGAAGGAGGAAGAGGCCCUGCCUCAUGAGAUAGAAAAAAUACCAGAGGAAGCUGAGUAAGAAGAAAUGAAGAAUCAAUAUAAAUUACAAAAGCAAAAUUCAUGUUUUUAAAGAGAGACCUGGCAGAUGAGCAGUUAGAGCACCAGAGAACAACCUGAUAAAAUCCCAGCAUGGUUUGGGCUGGAAGGAAUUUAAAGCCCAUCCAGGGGGCUUCCUCACCUUCCACUGUC